rnacentral:rRNA from 1 species
UACGUAGGCAGCGAGCGUUGUUCGGAGUUACUGGGCGUAAAGGGUGUGUAGGCGGUUCUUUAAGUUUGGUGUGAAAUCUCCCGGCUCAACCGGGAGGGUGCGCCGAAUACUGAGGGACUAGAGUGCGGGAGAGGAAAGUGGAAUUCCUGGUGUAGCGGUGAAAUGCGUAGAUAUCAGGAGGAACACCGGUGGUGAAGACGGCUUUCUGGACCGUAACUGACGCUGAGACACGAAAGCGUGGGUAGCAAACAGG